AAUAUUCCAAGUUUCCAACGGUCCAACCUAUGACUGCCUCUGCCUCUGCCUCUGGUCGGCUGCCUGCCAUAAUGGAGGAUGAUGAAGAAGAGGAACCGUAAUCAUUCUCUAAACUAUGUGGCUAACUAUGUGGCUAAUGCUUUUCAGUUAGGGGUUUUUUAAUAUGGUGCUGGGAAAGAACAGGGACAUAGAGCCUCUUUUGUUGAAAUUUGGGGUGGCUUUUGCUCGUUAGUUGCUGGAUUUCUCUUUUCUCGUCUCUUUUACUAGUACAAGUCUAUUUUUUUGCAGCUCCCUUAAUUGAUACAAGGGAAUCUGUUUGGUAUUUAAAAUCUAAUGUGGUGUUUUACUUAUAUUUUUUGUCAUGGGUUGUAAAAUAUAAUUUGGUGCUUUGCUUUUUUUGUCAUGGGAUGUAACUUGUAAGAAACAACUAAUUUGAUAGUUG